rnacentral:rRNA from 1 species
GACGAACGCUGGCGGCGUGCCUAAUACAUGCAAGUAGAACGCUGAAGAGAGGAGCUUGCUCUUCUUGGAUGAGUUGCGAACGGGUGAGUAACGCGUAGGUAACCUGCCUUGUAGCGGGGGAUAACUAUUGGAAACGAUAGCUAAUACCGCAUAACAAUGGAUGACACAUGUCAUUUAUUUGAAAGGGGCAAUUGCUCCACUACAAGAUGGACCUGCGUUGUAUUAGCUAGUAGGUGAGGUAAUGGCUCACCUAGGCGACGAUACAUAGCCGACCUGGGAGGGUGGUCGACCACCAUGGGACUGAGACACGGCCCAGACUCCUUCGGGGGGCAGCAGUAGGGGAACUUCGGCAAUGGGGGCAACCCUGACCGAGCAACGCCGCGUGGGUGAAGGAGGUUUUCGGAUCGUAAAGCUCUGUUGUAAGUCAAGAACGGGUGUGAGAGUGGAAAGUUCACACUGUGACGGUAGCUGACCAGAAAGGGACGGCUAACUACGUG